rnacentral:rRNA from 1 species
UACGGAGGAUGCGAGCGUUAUCCGGAUUUAUUGGGUUUAAAGGGUGCGUAGGCGGACGCUUAAGUCAACGGUAAAAUUGCGGGGCUCAACCUCGUCGAGCCGUUGAAACUGGGUGUCUUGAGUGGGCGAGAAGUACGCGGAAUGCGUGGUGUAGCGGUGAAAUGCAUAGAUAUCACGCAGAACUCCGAUUGCGAAGGCAGCGUACCGGCGCCCAACUGACGCUGAAGCACGAAGGCGUGGGUAUCGAACAGG